rnacentral:rRNA from 1 species
UAUGUGAUCGUCUCUCGCAUAUCAAUAAGCGGAGGAAAAGAAACUAACAAGGAUUCCCCUAGUAACGGCGAGUGAAGCGGGAAGAGCUCAAAUUUGAAAUCUUAAAGGGUUUCCCUUUACGAAUUGUAGUUUAAAGAAGUGUUUUCUGUUGAGGUUUUGGUAAAAGUUCUUUGGAAUAGGACAUCAUAGAGGGUGAGAAUCCCGUAUUUGACCUUUACUUUCAACUUUGUGAUACACUUUCAAAGAGUCGGAUUGUUUGGGAAUGCAGUCCAAAAUGGGUGGUAAAUUUCAUCUAAAGCUAAAUAUUGGCGAGAGACCGAUAGCGAACAAGUACCGUGAGGGAAAGAUGAAAAGAACUUUGAAAAGAGAGUUAAACAGUACGUGAAAUUGUCAAAAGGGAAGCGUUUGACACCAGUGUUGUUUUUCUGAAAAUCAAUUAAAGAACUGUUUAUGCUAAGUUGUUUAGACUUUAUCAGCUAUCUGUUUAGUUUUGAGCUUUUCUUUAAUGCACUUUUCAGUUAACAAGUCAACAUCAAUUUCUUUUGCUGUAAAAAAGCUUGAGGAAGGUGGCUUGAGAUUCGUCUUAAGUGUUUAUAGCCUCUUGCCUAUGCAGUCGGAGAGAUUGAGGUCUGCAGCGUAGAUCCUUCGGGGCUAAAUGCAUUUGUGCUAAGUUAUAGCAUUUUAUAGACAACUUGUUGACUAUGAUUUGUCUUGUAGCUUACUCGCUUAUGUUAUUUUACCUACGCUUAGGAUGUUGAAGUCAUCGUAUCGCGC